rnacentral:tRNA from 2 species
GGUCCCAUGGUGUAAUGGUGAGCACUCUGGACUCUGAAUCCAGCAAUCUGAGUUCAAAUCUCAGUGGGACCU